rnacentral:misc_RNA from 1 species
UUCAAACUUCACUCUAAGCACAUAUACUAACUACAUAUAAGUACUAAUGAAAACUACAUGUAAAAUCCCAAUUCCAUUAAUAAGUUUCUAACACAUUAAUUCAAUAAAACACGUACAUGAGCAAAUAAGUAUGCAAAGGUAUUACAACAAAGAAGAGUGGAAUUACAUACACACUGGGUGAAGGGUUUCAAAGACUGUAAACCCAUUUCUGAAUCCCAAAUCCCUAGUGAAGUUCACUUUUGAAGAUUUAAUAUUUGUGCAAUAAUAUUAAUGCCUAUUGGCUGCCAGUAAUUUAGAAAGUUAGAGUUUGAAACUCCGGUAUCCCUCCCCCUUAGUUAAUUGCUAAUAUAUCCAAAACAAAAAAUUAUGAUGCCAAAUAAGAUACAUGCACAAUUAUAGACAUGAAUGAAAACUCUUAAAUUUUGAAACAAACGGUGAGACCAAAAUUAUGGUGCCAUAUUGAAAACACAAAAUAUAAGGCAAAAUAUAUAUAUAAAGUGUCUUGUGGUUUAGGUUCAUGUGGUUUGAAUUAUGACAACUAAGUACCUUGUGGUUAAGUCUAUUAGCCAAAAAAAGGUACAAACACCUUAACUCCGUUAAUGGUUGCUGAUAUGGCACUAUUUCUCUGCUUGCCACGUCAACAAUCGUAUCAGCAGCCAUUAACAACGUUAGGGUGUUUGAACUUUUUUCGCUAACAGAUUUAACUGUAUGAUACUAAUUUGUAAAUACCAAACCACAAGAAUGACCGUGAAAAUGACUCAAACCACAUGGCACUUUUUGUAUUUCCCCCUACAAUAUAAGAAAUGAACAAAGAAAUAGAGACCCUCUGAAAACAUUGAAAGGAAAGUUGUAUAAAGCACAAAUUACUAAAUUCACAAGUAAAACACAAUACCAAACCUAUGAAUAAUAAAUAUCAAAGAGCCUUAAUGUGAUUGUUUGAAAAAACAUCCCAAACAAAGUAGUUCAAAGCUUCAGUAAAAAAAUCUAGUUUUCCUAAACUAACCAUCAAUUUUGUUCUAUCAGCAUGCAAAAUUCCAACAAAUUUUCAUAGAAUGAAAGAAAUAUCACUUGAUUUAAGCUGGCAUUUGAAUGAGCUAAAUAUUGAGGAAGAAUAUAAAGAACAACAAUGCUUUUUUAGCAUUGAACUGCAG